UACGGAGGGUGCAAGCGUUAUCCGGAAUAACUGGGUUUAAAGCGUGCGUAGGCUGCUGUAUAAGUCAGGGGUGAAAGUUUGUCGCUUAACGAUAGAAUUGCCUUUGAUACUGGGCGGCUUGAAAUUAGGUGAGGUUGGCGGAAUGUGACAUGUAGCGGUGAAAUGCGUAGAUAUGUCAUAGAACACCGAUUGCGAAGGCAGCUGGCUAGCCUAUAUUUGACGCUGAGGCACGAAAGCGUGGGUAGCAAACAGG
rnacentral:rRNA from 1 species